UCUUCUCUAACCCUAUUAUUUACCAGAUCUCCUUCAUCCCUCCUCCGCUUCUUCAAUCUAGUUCAACAUCUUCUUCGACGCUAGUUCUCCUAAAACCAUCCUUAUCCUUGACCGCUCCUUGCAAUGGGUGAAGCCAAGAUCGCCAAGAAUGACAAGAAGAGAAAAAAGAACAACCCUAUGGCAACGACAACUAUGUCUUCUUCUUCCUUCUCUUUUCUACAUAUUAAACUAACCCAAAUCUCGACUUAUUUGCUCUAAUUGAACAAUCUCAUGUGUGAAAGACCUUCAUUUCUACGAAAGAUCUAACUCAAUUGUUACCCUCUAGGUGCUGUCUUCUUCUUCCUUUUCUUCUCUGUAUGUUAAACUAACCUAGAUCUCGACCCUCUUGCCAUGAUUGAAUAGUCUCGUGCCCUCUUGAAACAUUUUCACAUAAAUGACCUAACCCGAUCUCCUAUCCUCUCGGUGUUAUAGUUUUCUCUCUUCUUACGUCUCAUAUCUUCAUAAUUAUUGUAGCCCAAAUUAUUGUAGCCUGAAUGCGAUAAUUUUUUCCUUGCUUGAUGUCCUAAAAUCCAACUCAUCAUACCCAAGUUAUUGGAGAUUGGGCAUGAUAAUAUUUGUCUCUCCAUCGUCUUUACAAAAUUCCCAAACCGAGAACAUAUCAGGGUGCAGAUUGAGGAACCACAAAUACCAAACAAACGGUCCAGAUUUCUCCAUUUUUUUAAAACGCACUCUCCACCCUCUCUCUUGCCGCCCGAGUCGCCUUCCGCGGCCAGCAAGCGGGAACGCGUCUACUCUCAGAAAUUUUCAUCACCAGAAUAAAUAACUCGAUCGAGUGGUGGGACGACGGCGCUGAUCGUGCCGGCGCGACGCCCAGACCGGCAUUGAAAUGCCAAUUAGAUUCAGAGACAAAACGCUCCGUCGACCUUCGCAAUACCAUCUCAAUCUCCCUUCCAGUCCCCAACUCAAGGAAUUCGAGAAGGCGAGAUCUCUCUCCGCCCCCUUCUAGGGUUCUGAUCAAUGGCCUCCACCAACCACCACCGGUCGUCGCUGCGUUCCGAGCGUCAGAUCCCCACGGCCAGGGGCAGCGUUGCGAACGCCUCGAUCCGCACCAAGCCCGCCUCGACCAAGCGUUCCGUCGCUGCCGGGAGCCUCCGAGCCUCCAUCGAUGAUCAGAAUGCUGAUAGUGGAAGAGUGCGGGUGGCUGUUAGACUUCGGCCUAAGAAUGCUGAGGAUUUUCCUUUUGAUGCAGACUUCACUGAUUGUGUCGAAUUGCAGCCUGAGCUGAACAGGCUGAAGUUGAGAAAAAAUAAUUGGAGCUCUGAGUCCUAUAAAUUUGAUGAGGUUUUCACGGAAAGUGCUUCUCAAAGGCGUGUUUAUGAAGCUGUUGCAAAACCUGUAGUGGAAAGCAUAUUAGAUGGGUACAAUGGGACAGUGAUGGUUUACGGUCAAACAGGAACCGGAAAAACUUACACAGUUGGUCGGCUUGGGAAAGAUGACCCAUCAGAACGUGGUAUUAUGGUCAGAGCAUUGGAGGACACUAUUGCCAAUACCAAUUCUAACCUUGAUUUUGUGGCAGUUUCCUACUUGCAGUUGUAUCUAGAAUCAAUACAAGAUCUGCUGGCACCUGAAAAGACCAAUAUUCCAAUUGUUGAGGAUCCGAAAACCGGUGAGGUGUCCUUGCCUGGGGCUACUCUAGUUGAAAUACAAGAUCUUGACCAUUUUCUGGAGCUGCUGCAAAUUGGUGAAGCAAACCGCCAUGCUGCAAAUACUAAACUAAAUACUGAAUCAUCUCGAAGUCAUGCUAUUCUUGUGGUUCAUGUCCGAAGAUCUAAGAGGAAAGAGGACAAUGAUGCCUCCUCUCUGGCUAGCAGUUCGAAUGGUGAUUUACCAUCUUUCCACAUGCCAAUUGUUCAAAAAAGCAAGUUGCUUAUUGUUGAUCUUGCAGGAUCUGAAAGAAUAGACAAAUCUGGCAGUGAAGGUCACAUGCUUGAAGAGGCUAAGUUUAUUAAUCUAUCACUCACUUCUCUUGGAAAGUGUAUUAAUGCGUUAGCUGAGAACAGUCCUCAUAUACCAAUAAGAGACUCCAAACUCACAAGGCUGCUUCGUGAUUCAUUUGGAGGCACUGCAAGGACAUCUCUUAUUGUAACAAUUGGUCCAUCUGCACGACAUUAUUCUGAAACGGCAAGCACAAUCAUGUUCGGGCAGAGGGCAAUGAAAAUAGUAAACGCAAUCAAGUUAAAGGAGGAAGUUGAUUAUGAGAGUCUAUGUAGGAGGCUUGAGUACCAAAUAGACUAUCUUACAUCAGAUAUGGACAGACAACAAAAACUUAGAGAUACUGAGAAAGAGCAAAUGGAGAAAAAAUUGAAAGUGUAUGAAGCAUCCUUAGCUGAUGCAGAAAAGGAAUUGGUUGUGAAGUCUGAGCAUUUUGAGAAAGAAAAUAUCCAUCUAGAGUUAAAGAUCAAAAGUUUGUUGGAGGAACUAAACACUCAGAAGGGCGAAAACAAUCAUUUGUUUGAAGAGGUUGUUCAUCUAGAAACAUGCUUGAAGCAGAGCAAGCAGCACCAGCUUGAAAGUUCUACAUAUCAGAAGGUACUUGCAGACACUACUCAGAUGUAUGAGAAGAAAAUAGCAGAACUACUUAAGCAUCUAGAAGAUAAAAACUCCCAUUGUGCAACUUUAGAAGCCCAGAUGGCUGAAAUGCAGCAGCAACUGGAUGAUAAUCAGAAAUUACUGCAGGAGAUGUCAAAGCUGAACAAAGAGGCUGCAAGUAAAGUUCAGUCCCUAGAAGCAGAAAACAAUGAAAUCUUGCUGGGAAAGGAAUCGUUAAAUAAAGAGCUUAAAUCUCUGCAAGAAAAACUGUUAUAUGAAGAAAUGCAAAGACAGACUCUUGAAGUUGACAUUGUCAAAUUGAAAAAUGUCUUGAAUAACCACAGUACUGAACUUGAGUAUAAAACGUCGCAUCAGAUGGACAGUGCAAUUAGAUCUACAUCAGGAUUAGGUGGUGCAUUAAACAUCCCCAAGCCAAACAAGUCAAGGGAGACGAUGUCUACUCAAAGGGAUACUAUUUCCAAGAUCUUUGAAGAAGUUGGCCUUUCAAAUAUAAUAGGUUUGUUAAAAUCUGGGGACUUAGAUGUGCAAAUCCAUGCAGUGAAGAUGGUUGCUAAUCUUGCUGCUGAAGAUAUAAACCAGGAAAAGAUUGUUGAGGAAGGAGGGUUGGACGCUCUACUUACGCUUUUAGAAUCAUCAGAGAAUACAUCCAUCCAUCGAGUUACUGCUGGUGCUAUAGCUAAUUUGGCAAUGAAUGGGUUGAACCAAGAUUUAAUAAUGAGCAAAGGAGGUGCUCGAUUAUUAGCAAAUAUAGCAUCUGGGACAGAUGACCCUCAAACUCUUCGGAUGGUAGCUGGAGCAAUUGCUAAUUUAUGUGGAAAUGAAAAGUUACAAGUGAUGUUGAAAGAGGAUGGCGGAAUAAAAGCACUUUUGGGAAUGGUCAGAUCUGGAAAUAAUGAUGUGAUAGCACAAAUUGCUAGAGGAAUGGCGAACUUUGCAAAAUGUGAAUCACGAGGAAUCAAGCAAGGUUCUUUUCCUAUGAUUUUGUCUUGCCUAUAGUGUGCAAUUAUUGCUUUCUGGCAAUGAUGAUCCGGAAGAUGAGAUCUCGUAAAGUGUGCUUGAAUAAUAUUUGUUAGUGAUACCGGAUUAAUCUUUGAAGUGUCUACUAAAGUACUUAUAGUCAGUUCAAUCAGAGAGUGGCAGGAUAUUAGCUUCAUGAAGUUCAAUGAAUCCACAAUUUAGUUAUUCACUAACAUUCCAGUUCAUAAGUCUUGUUGAUACAAAAAUGGUCACAUUCAGGCUACUGGUGUAUUUAUGGUAGAAGAGCCAACUAUGUUAUGGCAGCAUUAGUAAUUACUUUCUUCAAAUGUGCUGUUUAUGUUAUGACCUUGACUAUGCAAAGAGGUUUCCAGUGUUGUACAAAAGAAGGAUACAAACGAGGGAGGUCUCUUCUUAUUGAUGAUGGUGCACUUAAUUGGAUGGUUUCCAAGUUAACAACAUUUUCAGCUCCAAUAAGGCGCCACAUUGAACUUGCUCUCUGUCAUCUGGCUCAAAA